ACACAAUCUUUAUUGUAUACAGUAAACAAAAUUUCCCAUCAUGCCACAAUCAGUUUGUCGAGGCUUUUGGCAAUUGUGUCCGUUAUUAUGGACUGCUUUGAAAUUCGUAUUGAAAGAGCAUCAAAUCUCAAAGCUAGAGCACAGACAUUUUCCCACUACAAACACCAUCACACCUUAAAGUAUCUAACUGGCAUUACACCACGAGGAUCUAUAUCUUUAAUUUCCAAAGGGUGGGGAGGUCGUGUCAGUGACGAGCUUGUGACGGAGAAUAGUGGCCUUCUUAAUCAACUGUUACCUGGGGACUUGGUGCUGGCAGAUCGUGGGUUUGAAGUCAGAGACAGUGUUGGACUCGUGUGCAGAAGUGAAAACACCUGCUUUCUCAAGAGGAUGCAGCCGGCUGGAUGCAAAAGAUGUGGAGGAAACAUGCCGGAUAGCUCACCUCAGGGUGCAUGUGGAGAGGGUGAUUGGAUGUGUACACUCAAAAAAAUGAUUCAGGCCCUUCAUAGAUAUGACACAUUUAAAUUUAAUUCAACUUUACUUAAACAUAUCUAAUUAGGAGUAAUACGUAUUUAUAUUUAAUGAGUCUAACAUAAAAUAUUUAAAUAGUUUAAUCUAUGAAAUUUAUUUAAAUUUGACCAACUAAAUUUAAUUACAUUUGGGAAAUGGGAGUGCCUUCUGCGCAUGCGCGAGACACGCUCAGACAACGCACUCGUGUGACCGCCGGCGCCAUUUUCUCAUGCUGGUGAAAGGACCGUCUCGGCUGAGUCUCUGCUUUUGGAUACUCGUUGCUUUUGGAUAUUCGUUGCUGUUUGAACAUCAUUGUGACUACAUCCUAGAGAUGGAUUGUGAAUGUGGCAGACACACCCCUCCACACAAAAAACUGGCGCAACUGUAUUGACACCAUUAGCCAUCAAUUACUUUUAUCCACGCUCUCAUCGCAGGGCAUCAUAGGAACUGUACAUUGCUGGUGUGAAUCUCACAGGCUGAUGAUCUGACAGUAGCUGCACGGAUCUUGGACUGCCUGGUGGACAUCUCGGCAUAGAUACAAGAACAUCACCUGCAACUCAAUCUGGCAAAGACAGAACUUUUCAUCUUCCCAGCCACUCUGAUGAUUCAGCAUGAUUUCACCAUCCAGCUAGGCUCAUCAACUGUAAUUCCUUGUGGUAAUCUGUGAUGACCAGCUGACGUUCAGAGACCACAUUACAAAGACAACUUGGUCAUUUAAGUUUGCACUGCACUAUACCAGGAAGAUCAGGCCCUUCCUAAUGGAGCGUCCAACACAACUUCUCAUCCAGGCCCUUGUCAUUUCUAGACUGGAUUAUUGCAAUGCUCUUCGAACAUCUGCAAUCUCUCUAACCCUAACUGGACAGCUGAAUCCCUGACAAUAUUCAAGAAACAACUGAAAACUCAUCUCUUCUGUGAACACUUAAUGGCAUCCUGCUGACUCUUAAAAAACACUAUGCUUUCACUAUUAAAUUCCUCACUGUUCUAGUUUGUACUAUUCUGAAUAAUGUUUGAAUCUUUGUAUUUUUUAGCACUUCUUGUGUUUAUUGCCUCCUUAAGAUGAAUUGUUCCUUAUUUCUAAGUUGCUAUGGAUAAAAACGUUGGCUAAAUGAAUGUUUAAAUGGUAUAUAUUUUAAAGUUAUGAAUGUAAUAAUUCAUUACUAAACAGCAAAUGUUUAUUUUUAAUAUUGAUCACUGACAGCUAGUGCAUAUUUCCAUUGUUUUUAAUAUUGUGAUACUUUAACAGUAAAUAACUGUUUUAUACCUGCUUUUAUGACUUUUAAAUAAAAACGAACUAAAACUAAA